GUCAGACCCGUACCUCCUUUUGCACUCUGCCAGCAUUUGCAGGUGCCAAGACCCACAGGGCCACAGCAAGGAGGCAAGAAAGGUGGGCCCAGGGGUGGAGGAGCCACAGUGUGGGUGGCUCAAGGGGCAGCUGUGGGGAGGUGGUAGGAUUGGCAGGAAGAGGAGAGAUGGGUAGGACCCAGCUUGGCCCAACUACCAAAGCUGCAUCUUGGAAACACUUGUAGAUUUCCAGGAAAUUGGAAAAGGCCUUGGAGAUAUUUUCAAACAUCAAUGGCUGGCAAUCAGCGCUUCAGAUCAGCGGGAGAGAUCUCGAGUUGUCACACUGAGAUGCUGUGCUUCCAGCCCACAGCAAAGCCGUCUGCCAUUGGAGUCAUCAGCCGCUAAACCUGAUCACAGGUUGAGCUAUGAUGAGUGUUUUUAAUGUGUAACCACAUGGGGUGAUGAAAAGAGAAAAGAGAGUUAAAAUUCACCCUGCAACUUACCUUGAGUAAGGAAUGAAGCCUUUAAAGACUUUGUUUGGAAAGAGGAGCAGGAGAAAUAGCCAGGCCAGAGGAGCAGGGGCUAUAAAGCCGAAGCAGGCAGCACACAAAAGGCUCAGCUACAAAGGAUUCUCCAUCCCUUGGACCCACGAAGAGGAAGGGUCUGAAGCAGGGCAUAAUAGAAGAUGCAGCUGGCACCUGGUCUCUUUCCUCUCCAAGCCUGUUGGGACAUCUCACUCUCUGCUGGGGUGACUCUAUUCUCCAUCCACAUCUGAGCAUCUGAAUGCUGGUAGACAUGACCUACUGGGUAGAGGACUACUAGGCAGAGGCCUAACCCUAAUCUUAACUCACUCCCUCUUAGAGAACCUCAUGGACAAGAUGACUCUCACACCCAAUUCCCACCCCUGCACCUCUCUCACUGAAGCUCCAAUUGGGUGCAGAAAAAAAAAAAAUACUUCAGAUUCCAUUUGAGUAAGACCUGAUGCCUCUCCUCCUGAGCUGUCCUGCUACUCCUCAGCUCUGCUCUUGAUGCCACCCUACCUUACCCCCCCCCCAGUCAAGCGUUUCCUAGUCUUUAAGCAGAAACUCAUCAUCCACUUGAUUCUGAGCAGCUAUGGUGCUGAAUGUGGAAGCACAGACUUUUACACUAAAGCUUGGAGGGAGUUCAUACAAAGAUCACUAACAGUGGCUGUUUUUAUUCUGUCUAUAAAUCAGAUACGAGUGCCUAAGGACAGACACUGGCCUGGGAUAGAGUGAGAAAAGUGUGUAGUUUAGAGGUAGACACAUGCAGAUGUUAAAUAAUCAUAAAGAGGCCUGUGGAUACACAUGCUAUGAAAGAAGAGUGGAGAGAGACCACAAGCAAAUAACAGAACUCUUGAACUGGACCAGGGUCAAGAAAUCUUCAAAGACACCAUGAAGGAAUAGACCUGCAUGUUCCUUUCUCUUAAUACCACUGCGUGCAGUGUCUGCCACCAUCAUGUCUGUGUUUAAGGAGUGCUUCCUGUCACAUCUCCAUGACCAGCCAUCCUUCCGGCCACAGCCACCCCGUCACCAUAGCCAGCCUCAAGCCUUCUCUUACCCAAACAGGGGUCAUGCCCCUAAGUGGCUUGGGCAUUCUUCUUCCCAAGAGCCAACAGGAAAACUGUCACCUUGAGACAAGCAAAGAGUUCCCCUGCCUCCUAUUCCAAGGCUUCCAGGCCUCUCCCUCUCAAUGCUCACAACCAGCUAACACUUCUCUGGAGGAAGCCAGGUGAUAUGUCAGUUCUUCAGACCUCCCUACACUGGCUGCUGGUGACUUACCCAUGGCCAUUCCAGGAUUACCUUGUUCCAGAGAAUACAGUAGCUACUGUUCCUAUUUGCAAAAGCAAGCUUGUUUAUGCUAGCGAAGUGAAGUGCUUGAAAUGUUCACAUUUACUAUAGCCUUGGAUCAGGUGGAUCUUGAUGGCAAGAGGUCAUGUCCUAUGAAGGCAUCCGUUUCCCACACACCCAGUGUCUUGGUUACUUUUCUGUUGUUGCUGGGACAAAAUACCCACCACCCAAAAGGAAGGAAGGAAAGGUUUAUUUAGCUCACUGUUUGUGGAAGUGUCAGUUCAUAAUUAGCUGGCUCCAAGGCAGUGUGGCGUGGCACUGGAGCAACACUUCAAGGUAGCAGCCAGAAAAAUCAGCCAGAGCAAAAGGGGGAGCAAACAAACCUCUACUCCUUCCUUAUAUUGUACACAGGCCACCCCUCUCCAGGAUUGGUGUAGCACUCACCAAAUCUCUGUGCCCUCCUUUUGCACUGGAUGAGGAUAUUUGCAAAGUAAGAACCCUAAACUUCUAAAGUUGACACAAUAUGUUAACGAUAACACCCAGUCACACCUGGUGGCAUCUGCAGUAUCUUUCCCCAUCAACUGCUGAAUGCACAUCUCCCCAUCUGGUGCACCAUGGGGUCACAGGAUAAACAGAAGGCCUGGCUUCUUUCUCUGCAGCCAGAUAGAGGCUGCCAGAGCUCCACCCAUAUAAUCAUACAUCCCCAGGCAGCUUGGAGCACUAGACACAUAGUAUUAUGGGUCAGGAGCUGAAGGGCCACAUCCAGGCAGCUUUAAUUCACUGUGUGAUCUUAAAAGUAACCUUUAAAUUCUCUCCAAGUUUCAGUUCUCUGUAUAAAAGGUGCUGGGACUGAGUGAAUGGCCUUUUCCAUAGGCUCAAAUGUGCCCUGGAGAUAGAGGGAAAGCCAAGGUACAGGGAUUUCAGCCAAGGUAGCAUCAGUUGUAUCUGCUUUGUAUACAGAGCUUCUGCAGAAAGUUUUCACUCAGAAAAAGAAGCUCAUCACUGAAAGCAAGCUGGGAAGUGACUAUAGUGAUGGUCCUAAGGCCCCCUCCAGACCUAACAUUUCAUGAUUUACUGGUAAAUACAAUAAUGUGGUUGAAAGAGGCUUGGAACGUGGAGACCACAGCAGGACAUGACAAGUAGACUGUUUCAUCUGCUCUGCACUUUCCACACCAUGAGAGCCCGAGGCAGGUGCUCGACUGAAAUCUGCACCAUCUUCUAACCUUUGAGCUAAGGAACCACUUGAGAGGCCUCUGUGGGAAGUAAGUGGAAGGAGGCAGAAGAAAGGAGAGAGAGAGAGAGAGAGAGAGAGAGAGAGAGAGAGAGAGAGAGAGAGAGAGAGAGAACACAGGGAGGGAGGCAGACAAACCAGAGUUGGGCCUGGGACCCUCCUGCACCCCACUGCAGGCAGAGGGUUAUGGCCGCCACCUCUAGCUUCCAACUGCAUUAUUUAGGCCUCAUGCUCUGGUUGCCAUGGAGAUGGGAAAGCGUGGGCCCAGGGCCCUGGUCUCUCCACCAGAGGCAGCAGCAUGUGCUCCUGUUGAUCUCAGUCCUUGGAGGCGGCCAUGGAGAUGGGAGCCUAUGAACUCAUCUUGCUCUGUGUCCCCUGCCUCAUCGUCCUCUGCUCACCUCCAGACUUAUCUUGGAAGCCAAAGGCCAGUCCCUUCUGCUCAGAGGGUGGGCUCUGGGCACAGGCUCACGUGCGGAUGGAGCGUUCAAGGGGAAAUCAGGCUCCUGCAGAAUAGACAGCUUGUGGAGGGCUGUGUGCGGAGGUGGGUGCCACCCUGUGAGCAGCAGAUGACAGGGGCAGAGUGAAGAGGUGGGUCUGACGGGCCCUGCAGACAUGGAUCACAGAGUAGGGACGGUGAGCGGGUGCACAUCCAGGCAGGAGGCUGCUGGGGCCAUCUGAGUGAGAGAUGAGGGCUCGGUGAACAACAAGGAAAUGCUGGGGGCAGUGAGCCAAAAGGAAAAACCUGGAGCUCCAGGGACGCAGAAUACGCAUUCACUCCUUGUAUCUACAGCCUCAAAGCCUCAGAAGGUUUGGGACCACAACAUAAAUUCUAUGCAUGAAGCCCUCCUAGAGAUCCCGAGGAAUAUAGCAAAGUCAGGCCCCUGGAGGUCCCACCGAGCUUCAUGUGUUCACAUAGGUCUGGCUGUGAUGGACUUAUUUUAACUCGGCUUCACCACACUUUAUAUUUUGACCAUGGAACCCCCUUCUACCACCCGCUCACCCCUCCAGAACACUGGGAUUUGCCAAGUCCAUCUCUCACAGAAGGCAAGGCAGGAGGGGACAGAAGAGGCCGAGCUGUGCCUCAAAUAAUCAUAUCUGACUCAGGAGUCCCAACCCUGGGGAGCAGCUAUGUGCUUGAAGGAGUCACUUGAUUUAAAAUACCUGAAGUGGGCCUGGGAUUUAGCUCAGUGGGGUAAGCGCCUGCCUGGCAAGUGCAAGGUUGUGAGUUCGAUCCCUGGUGGUACCAAAUAAAAGAAAGAAAGAAAGAAAGAAAGAGAACCUGAAAUGUCAAUGACAGGGAUUGGCUUAGUAAACUGUGGUCAGAUUCUUUGACCUUUCUGUGAGAUGAUUACAAAUAUUACAUUGGAAGUCAUUUCAUAUGAAAUACAUCCUAAGAACUAUUUUGAAAAAUAUAUAGA